rnacentral:lncRNA from 1 species
CUGUAUUUGUUCACUUGGUUAGUACCUCCUUUACCCCUGCUUUCCUUGUACUGAGUGUAUUGCUUGCGCAAACAGCUCAAUAAAUAUAGGUUGAAUUUAUUUAAAGAGAGAGAGAGAGAGAGCUCGCUGCUUGAGAAGUCAGUUACAUAUAUGGACAAUUAUAAUACGACAGUUGCAGUAAAUUGCGGCUACUCAGGGAAACGUUUCCGUGCGGAGGCUCGCACUACAUGGAGAAACAGAGGCUCGAGUGUGAAGCUGUGUAAGGAGCUGGAGUCCAGGGGAGCGCGAGGGAAGCACGGACCAGCAAGGCCCAGGAGGGAACGUGCGGGAAGUUGUUUGAGUCUCCGGUACACUCAUCUUCAGGCACUGAAGGCACUUCAGGUGGGAUUUGGAAAGCCCACCUUUUUGGAGUUCCCUCUUGACACACCCUAACUGAGCUCCACUGCCAGCACUUUGUUCCUUCCUUCAUUCAAAGAACUGUGAGGGUGCAGCCUGACCCUGUGAACCGCUGGAUAUUCAGAGAUAAGCCGGACUCGGCUUCCAGUCCAAGGUGCACACCGAGAAUUCGAGUGGAGUAUGUUUCAACGGGCCACCUUCGUGGAAAACUGAAGGGAGAAAAUGGCACCAUGGACAGCUUCAUGGACACCCCGGGAACAGAAGCGUACCUGUGGGCUGGAGUCACAGGCCGAUGAAAGACAUUGGGGGGGGAGCAGGGGUGCAGCUGUAGGGGGUUCUUUCCAGGACUCAUGACUGUGGGACACCAGCUCAGCAGCGAGGGUUGCUAUUGCCCCCUGGGCAGAGGCUGGGGCGAACCCCACUGGCCCCGAGAUAGCAUUUGAAUUCUGUCUUGGUGAUGGAAGCCACCGAAAGAUGACGCUUCGAUGUGUAUAUCAGAAGCACCCUUGUUGCUCAGCCUCCCUUCGUAAUUCUUUUGUUGGCAGACUGACCGUUUCCUCACUGCAUGACUGUUUUAAGUCAGUUGCUGCGCUGGUUUGAGGCACGCGGUACCAAAGAGAAGUAUGAUUUCUGCUUUGUCUCCAUUCUGCAGUCUCUGUGGCUCUUUUCUUCUUGUUUUCUAACAUUUAAAUGUGAGUCAUGUUUAAAGACCCACAGUAAGUUGUAGUUGGUCUGCCCCGUAUUUAUUUGUGCUUCUUAACCUCUCCCUGGAAAUCCUAAGCCUGCUGUCCUUAUUAAGCUAGCAGAAGAAAGUACUGGAACUACGCUGCAGUGCAAUGGAAGGCAAACUUUGCCUUUCCCUAGUCCAAGUAGCUGGUUUAAACUAUACUCAAAGCUUUAUGCCUAAUUCUAGCAGGUAAUAGUAAAAUUAUAGGAUUCCCUGAAACUCUUCUUUUUAAUCCAUUUACUUAACAAUAUUCCUGUCAUCUUAACAUUUAUAAGAUAAAAUAAUUGUAUCAUUUGUAUAAUUCUGAAAUGUAGUUAGCCAUUAUUUUCAAUUAUUUUUUUCGCAAUAUAGUACGAUCAUUUAUAUUUCAUGCUUAGUACACUAAUUAGGUUAAUAGCCUCUAGUUCUAAGUACUGUAGUAUUUUAUUUCAUGGUGCUUGAAAGCUAUCUUGUAUGGAAUAUGAUCUUCCCUGUAUAAAUUCACAUAUUAUCAUUAUUUUUUGAAGUAUAUUUUUAUUGUCAGAGUCAGCAAGGGGAAAAUACUCAAGGUAGUUUAGACUUUUCUCAAAGAAGGUAACAUGUCCUUCAACCAAAGCGCCUACUGUGCAUGUAAUAUCUGGUUAGGAG